CUUGCUGGGUGGAUUAGUGGCGAACGGGUGAGUAACACGUGAGUAACCUGCCCUUAACUCUGGGAUAAGCCUGGGAAACUGGGUCUAAUACCGGAUAGGAGCGUCCACCGCAUGGUGGGUGUUGGAAAGAUUUAUCGGUUUUGGAUGGACUCGCGGCCUAUCAGCUUGUUGGUGAGGUAAUGGCUCACCAAGGCGACGACGGGUAGCCGGCCUGAGAGGGUGACCGGCCACACUGGGACUGAGACACGGCCCAGACUCCUACGGGAGGCAGCAGUGGGGAAUAUUGCACAAUGGGCGCAAGCCUGAUGCAGCGACGCCGCGUGAGGGAUGACGGCCUUCGGGUUGUAAACCUCUUUCAGUAGGGAAGAAGCGA
rnacentral:rRNA from 1 species